GACGAACGCUGGCGGCGUGCUUAACACAUGCAAGUCGAACGGUGAAGCGCUUUCCUUUUUGGUUGGUGUGGAUGAGUGGCGAACGGGUGAGUAACACGUGAGUAACCUGCCCCCUUCUUCUGGAUAACCGCAUGAAAGUGUGGCUAAUACGGGAUAUUCUGCGCCUGCUGCAUGGUGGGUGUGGGAAAGAUUGUGCCUUUGGGUGUUUUCGGUGGGGGAUGGGCUCGCGGCCUAUCAGCUUGUUGGUGGGGUGAUGGCCUACCAAGGCGGUGACGGGUAGCCGGCCUGAGAGGGUGGACGGUCACACUGGGACUGAGACACGGCCCAGACUCCUACGGGAGGCAGCAGUGGGGAAUAUUGCACAAUGAGCGCAAGCCUGAUGCAGCGACGCCGCGUGAGGGAUGGAGGCCUUCGGGUUGUGAACCUCUUUCGCCAGUGAAGCAGGCCUGCUCCUUGUGGGUGGGUUGACGGGAGCUGGAUAAAAGCGCC
rnacentral:rRNA from 1 species